CGGCUGUGAUGAUUUCCUAUUGCCGUUUACCCGUCUGAGGAAAACCGUGCUUGAUACAACUUGGAAAAGGCUGAGCCG
rnacentral:snoRNA from 15 species